AGUUCUGCAGAUAGAAGAAAACAAAAGGAAUUCUACUUUAUUUCACUUUGGCUGACCUUUAUGAGCAUCCAUCAGGUGCCAGGUUUCAUGCUAUCUUCACAUUCAUUAUCUCCCAUGGUCACUGCAACAUCUUUGUGAGGCAGACGUGGAUGCUUCCAAUAUAUAGGAUUCUUGCCCUCAGGGAGCUCACAGUUUAGCACAAUGGUACAUGACUAUAAUUAAAAGGGAAAUAACAAAAGGUAUAAGGGCAUACAAAAACGGAUGAAGAGGUUUGAAAGAGGUGGGACACUUGUAUAUGAGUUCAGCUUCCUAUUGUACUCCAAUUAAAAUCCAAACUCCUCACCACAGACUACAAGACCUAUCAGGAUCUGCCUCCUGUCCCCCUUUCAACCAUGUCAGUUUCUUGACAUCCCUCCAUCUCACUCUCAUAGUCCAGCCACACAGGCCAAACACACAAACGUCAUUUCCACCUUUGCAUUUGCUGCUUUUCCCUCUGCCUGGAAUUCUUUUCCUUUUGGCUUUUCCAGCGGAUGGUUGGGUCCUUCUCAUCCUUAAGUCUCAGCUCAAACUACCCUAUUUAAUGUGGGAUUCCCCAUAAUUCUCUAUCUUUUCACCCUAUUGUUUUAUUCAAAGAGUUUCCCUCAACUAGAAAAAUUUUUUUUUCUAUUUUUGCAUACUUUCUGAUGAUUAUCUCCCUGACCAAAGUGUGAGCUCUGGCCCUUGUUGUCUUAUUUCCGAUUGUAUUCCCCAGUGUCUAAAACACAGUGCUUGGAGCUUUGUAAAUGCUCAAUAAUUAUUUGUUAUUGUUGUUUAAUGAAGUGAAAACUGAGUAGUCAGGUAGACAGGUCAGACUCAAUAGGGAAGGCGUUCUCAGAUUAGCAGAAUAAUAUGAGUAAAGGCCUGCAGGUGCAUAAUCACAGGAUGAAUGUGCUGUGGAAUUUGGGGCAUGAGAGGCAGGUUAGAAGCUCUGAGGCUUCUAGGAGUUUGGGGUGUGAGAGGCAGGUAAACAGCAGAGGUGUCUCCCAGCUCUGGUCCCCAUUCUGACAGUGGGGGGAUAGGCUGUCCUUGAUAAAGGCUAAGGCCUGAGGAACAACACCCACCCCCACCCAUGCUGUGCUCCCUUUGAAGCUACAUGGUACGAAAGCAAGAUAAGGUGAUACCAUCAUUACUGUCAUUAACAUGAAUGGACAGAAAAAUUUUCUGACACAGAUAAAAGAGAAGUAAGAGUUGGCAGGAAGGAAAUGGUCAGUGGUAUGGUGGAACUGGUUUGCAUUAGCUAGCCAGAGCUGACUGUACCCAUCUCUUUCCAACUCUGUGUCCAGAAAUGCUCAAUUGGAUAGCUUGAAAUUGGCCACGAUGGGAGUACACCAUAGAAAUCAGCAAAUGCUACAAAUUAGGGCUCUCCCCCUGAGAAACAUGACUGUUAAACACUUGCCAGCACAUCCCUAGAAACAGUAUGAAUGGUUGAAGCAACGUGGAUUCCUGAAGAUUCAGAUUCUAGAAGAUAGUGUGUUUGUAGAGGAUGAGAGGUAGCAAAUAGCUUAUGGGAGAAUAGGAGGUUCCUCCAGUAAUUUCCCUGAGGAUCACUGAGGCCAGGGCUCAGGAAAAAACCCAGGUUGUUGUGAUGCCUGAGCUGGGUCUCUGAGGAAUGAUGGUGGGUCCUAGGAGGCAGAGAAUGGUCUAACGGAAUACCAACCUGUGGACUGUACUGACUCGGCAUGUAGCCAUCCCGGAAGUAAACCACAGCAACUUCCUGGCCGUCCCUAGAACACAGGAUGGAGAAAGCUGCUGGGUUAAAUUAUAACUGAUAUGUUCAGUGGUUUAGUGUAUUUUAGGGUGCAUCAAAAUGACUGGCUUUUUUCAAAGUCAGUCUGCACAGGUUGCCUAGACUGUAGUUCCCUGGAAGCAAAGAAAGUAGCUACGCAUACCACCACUUCUUCCACUAAAAACAUGAAGGUAUGCAGUAAGGAAUGCUUUAGAAUAUUCCAGAUCUAGAGUCAUUAGAGGAAGGCCAGAGGGAAACAUGAAGGCAACUAGAAUCAAACCAGAUAAAUACAUUUUAAAAAAGGGCUAAAAAUUACUGAGCCUCAGAAUCAUAUUGCCAUGCCUAACAAAACACACUUAUACUACUUAAAAUAGCUGAAACUAGGCUGAGAUUCUUUGAAACGGUGGAUGUGAGGGUAUGGAGAUGCAAAAUUAUGAGUCUAGUCAAGACACAGACUGCCUUGAGUCAAGGCCAGAGGCCAAACUCAGAAUCUGACAAGAUGGUCGGGCUUCCUCGAGGAUUAUCAAGGAAACCCAGCAUUUGCUGGCAGAACCAGUUCCUCGCAUUAAAGCAGAACCAGAUGAGAACAAUGCCCAUGAUUUUCAUGUGGUCAUUGCUGGCCCCCAGGAUGCCCCCUUUGAGGGAGGGCCUUUUAAACUUGAACUAUUCUUUCCAGAAGAAUACCUGACGGAAGCCCCUAAAGGGUGUUUCAUGACCAAAAUUUAUCAUCCUAAUGUAGAUAAGUUGGGAAAAAUAUGUUUAGAUAUUUUGAAAGAUAAGUGGGCCCCAGCACUGCAGAUCUGCACAGUUCCACUAUCAAUCCAGGCUUUGUUAAAUGCUCCCAAUCCAGAUGAUCCAUUAGCAAAUGAUGUAGCAGAGCAGUGGAAGACCAACGAAGCCCAAGCCAUAGAGCUAGAGCAUGGACUAGGCUAUAUGCCAUGAAUAAUAUUCAAAAUCGAUCUGAUCAUCAAGUGUGCAUCACUUCUCCUGUUCUGCCAAAACUUCUUUUUUGUUUGCAUUUAAUGGACACGGUCUUAAAAACACUACAGAAUAAAAGCCCAGACAUCUUCAGUCCUUUGGUGAUUAAAUGCACAUUAUCUAUGAUUAAAAGACAAACCUAUGUCUUGUCUUGAUUCACGGUUGUAAAGCAUGAGCAGAGACUAGAAGUACCAUCUGGAUUGUUGUGAAACGUUUAAAAGCAGUGGCCCCUCUCUGCUUUUAUUCAUUUCUCCCAUCCUGGUUUAAGUAUAAAGCACUGUGCAUGAAGGUAGUUGUCAGGGUUAGCUGCAGGGGUGUGAGUGUUUUCCUUUAUUUUAUUUUAUUUUAUUUUUUGAGGGGGAGAGGUAGUUUUAGUUUAAUUUUAUGGGCUCCUUUCCCCCUUUUUAUGGUGAUCUAAUUGCAUUGGUUAAAAGCAGCUAACCAGUUCUUUAGAAUAUGCUCUCUAGCCAAGUCUAACUUUAUUUAGACAUGGUAGAUGGACAAGCUUGACUGUCUGAACCAAUAUGGGAACAUGAAACAAACAUCACAGCCUUCACUAAUAACACUGUGACUUUGCUGUCAAGUAUAGAAUCCUUCCUUCAAGAAAAAGCUUCUGACCAUUUUGUAUGGCUUGUCUGGAAAUUUCUGUAAAUCUUAUGUUUUAGUAAAAUAAAUUUUGUUGUUCUAAAAAAAAAGACAAAGACUGUCUUUUUAAAUUUCUUCCCCUUUGAUUUAUUUGAUAUUGUCUGAUAUAUCUGGAAAGUAAAUUAAUGACUUUGUUAUAAAAGCACAUUUUGAAAAUA